UUGUCUCUCUAGCUGCAUAUG
rnacentral:misc_RNA from 1 species